rnacentral:rRNA from 1 species
AACGACGCUGGCGGCGCGUCUUAAGCAUGCAAGUCGAACGGUGAACCAGAGCUUGCUCUGGGGAUCAGUGGCGAACGGGUGAGUAACACGUGGGCAACCUGCCCCAGACUCUGGGAUAACCCCGGGAAACCGGAGCUAAUACCGGAUAUGACCACUUCGGACAUCCGAUGGUGGUGGAAAGUUUUUCGGUCUGGGAUGGGCCCGCGGCCUAUCAGCUAGUUGGUGGGGUAAUGGCCUACCAAGGCGACGACGGGUAGCCGGCCUGAGAGGGCGACCGGCCACACUGGAACUGAGACACGGUCCAGACUCCUACGGGAGGCAGCAGUGGGGGAUAUUGCACAAUGGGCGAAAGCCUGAUGCAGCGACGCCGCGUGAGGGAAGACGGUUUUCGGAUUGUAAACCUCUGUCUUCGGGGACGAAACAAGACGGUACCCGAGGAGGAAGCCACGGCUAACUACGUG